AAGAAGGGCGUUUUGCUCGUGCACUCGGUCAAAGCAAUCAGGUAAUCAGGAAAUAGAGUUGGAUUUCCGCUCUCUUUCAUUCUUAGAUGUAUAUCAAUAAUUUUCUUGAAAUU
rnacentral:ribozyme from 14 species